rnacentral:rRNA from 1 species
GAUCCUGGCUUAGGAUGAACGCUGGCGGCGUGCCUAACACAUGCAAGUCGAGCGAUCUCUCGGAAGAGAGCGGCGGACGGGUGAGUAACGCGUGGGUAACCUGCCCUGUACACACGGAUAACAUACCGAAAGGUAUGCUAAUACGGGAUAACAUACUUUUAUCGCAUGGUAGAAGUAUCAAAGCUCCGGCGGUACAGGAUGGACCCGCGUCUGAUUAGCUAGUUGGUAAGGUAACGGCUUACCAAGGCGACGAUCAGUAGCCGACCUGAGAGGGUGAUCGGCCACAUUGGAACUGAGACACGGUCCAAACUCCUACGGGAGGCAGCAGUGGGGAAUAUUGCACAAUGGGCGAAAGCCUGAUGCAAGCAACGCCGCGUGAGCGAUGAAGGCCUUCGGGUCGUAAAGCUCUGUCCUCAAGGAAGAUAAUGACGGUACUUGAGGAGGAAGCCCCGGCUAACUACGUGCCAGCAGCCGC